rnacentral:tRNA from 1 species
AUUUAUAUAGUUUAAUAAAAACGUUACAUUUUCACUGUAAAAUUAGAAAUUUUCUUAUAAAUU